rnacentral:rRNA from 1 species
GUGGCCUACGGGGCGCAGCAGUGGGGAAUAUUGGGCAAUGGGCGCAAGCCUGACCCAGCAACGCCGCGUGAAGGAAGAAGGCUUUCGGGUUGUAAACUUCUUUUCUCAGGGACGAAGCAAGUGACGGUACCUGAGGAAUAAGCCACGGCUAACUACGUGCCAGCAGCCGCGGUAAUACGUAGGUGGCAAGCGUUAUCCGGAUUUACUGGGUGUAAAGGGCGUGUAGGCGGGGACGCAAGUCAGAUGUGAAAACCACGGGCUCAACCUGUGGCCUGCAUUUGAAACGGUGGUUCU